UACGUAGGGCGCAAGCGUUGUCCGGAAUUAUUGGGCGUAAAGAGCUCGUAGGCGGCUUGUCACGUCGGGUGUGAAAGCCCGGGGCUUAACCCCGGGUCUGCAUUCGAUACGGGCUAGCUAGAGUGUGGUAGGGGAGAUCGGAAUUCCUGGUGUAGCGGUGAAAUGCGCAGAUAUCAGGAGGAACACCGGUGGCGAAGGCGGGUCUCUGGGCCGGAACUGACGCUGAGGCGCGAAAGCGUGGGGAGCAAACGGG
rnacentral:rRNA from 1 species